GAUCCUGGCUCGAGGACGAACGCUGGCGGCGUGCUUAACACAUGCAAGUCGAGCGAUGAAGCUUCUCGGAAGUGGAUUAGCGGCGGACGGGUGAGUAACACGUGGGUAACCUGCCUCAUAGAGGGGAAUAGCCUUUCGAAAGGAAGAUUAAUACCGCAUAAGAUUGUAGUGCCGCAUGGUACAGCAAUUAAAGGAGUAAUCCGCUAUGAGAUGGACCCGCGUCGCAUUAGCUAGUUGGUGAGGUAACGGCUCACCAAGGCGACGAUGCGUAGCCGACCUGAGAGGGUGAUCGGCCACAUUGGGACUGAGACACGGCCCAGACUCCUACGGGAGGCAGCAGUGGGGAAUAUUGCACAAUGGGGGAAACCCUGAUGCCAGCAACGCCGCGUGAGUGAUGACGGUCUUCGGAUUGUAAAGCUCUGUCUUUAGGGACGAUAAUGACGGUACCUAAGGAGGAAGCCACGGCUAACUACGUGCCAGCCGCCGC
rnacentral:rRNA from 1 species